rnacentral:tRNA from 1 species
GGGAUUCUUUAUGUGGGAUAGUGGUUAGUUUGAACCUAACUUAAAGGUGUUCGAUUCGCCUAGGGUCCUG